rnacentral:sRNA from 1 species
CCCUAGCCCGGAUAGCAGCGGCAUCCUUUUGUGGCGCGCAGCAGAACAAAAGAUACAGCGGAUAGCCGGAAACAGC